GGUGCUAUGGCUCAGUUGGAGGAUCAUGUGAUUGAUUCACAGGAGAUCUUGGGUUCAAUUCCCCGUGGUGCCA